rnacentral:rRNA from 1 species
AUUGAACGCUGGCGGAAUGCUUUACACAUGCAAGUCGAACGGUAGAGGGGGCAACCCCUCGAGAGUGGCGAACGGGUGAGUAAUAUAUCGGAACGUGCCCAGUCGUGGGGGAUAACGUAGCGAAAGUUACGCUAAUACCGCAUACGAUCUAAGGAUGAAAGCGGGGGAUCGCAAGACCUCGCGCGAUUGGAGCGGCCGAUAUCAGAUUAGGUAGUUGGUGGGGUAAAGGCUCACCAAGCCAACGAUCUGUAGCUGGUCUGAGAGGACGACAAGCCACACUGGAGCUAAGACACUGUCCAGACUCCUACGGGAGGCAGCAGUGGGGAAUGUUGGACAAUGGUGGCAAGUCUGAUCCAGCCAUACCGCGUGCAGGAUGAAGGCCCUCGGGUUGUAAACUGCUUUGGUACGGAACGAAAAGGUCUCUCUUAAUACGGGGGACUCAUGACGGUACCGUAAGAAUAAGCACCGGCUAACUACGUGCCAGCAGCCGCCGUAAGAC